UACGUAGGCAGCGAGCGUUAUUCGGAGUUACUGGGCGUAAAGGGUGCGUAGGCGGCCGAUUAAGUUUAUCGUGAAAUCUCCCGGCUUAACUGGAAGAAUGCGACGAAUACUGACCGACUCGAGUGUGGGAGAGGAGAGUGGAAUUCCUGGUGUAGCGGUGAAAUGCGUAAAUAUCAGGAGGAACACCGGCGGUGUAGACGGCUCUCUGGACCAUAACUGACGCUGAGGCACGAAAGCGUAGGUAGCAAAC
rnacentral:rRNA from 1 species